rnacentral:ribozyme from 1 species
GACACAUAGACUAUUGUGUUGAUUGUCCAGACAACUACCUCUGGUUUGUUUCUUUCACUUCUAGUUCUCUUAAUCGUUGCGAAGGCGGCUGUAAUGAAGAUACAAAUUGUGAGGGAGAUCUCAAAUGUUUUAAACGAGGAAUAAUA